rnacentral:rRNA from 1 species
AUUGAACGCUGGCGGCAGGCUUAACACAUGCAAGUCGAGCGGAGCGAGGGUGCUUGCACCUUAGCUUAGCGGCGGACGGGUGAGUAAUGCUUAGGAAUCUGCCUAUUAGUGGGGGACAACAUUCCGAAAGGAAUGCUAAUACCGCAUACGCCCUACGGGGGAAAGCAGGGGAUCUUCGGACCUUGCGCUAAUAGAUGAGCCUCAGUCGGAUUAGCUAGUUGGUGGGGUAAAGGACUACCAAGGCGACGAUCUGUAGCGGGUCUGAGAGGAUGAUCCGGCACACUGGGACAGAGACACGGCCCAGACUCCUACGGGAGGUAGCAGUGGGGAAUAUUGGACAAUGGGCGGAAGCCGGAUCCAGCCAUGCCGCGUGUGUGAAGAAGGCCUUUUGGUUGUAAAGCACUUGAAGCGAGGAGGAGGCUACUUAGAUUAAUACUCUGGGAUAGUGGACGUUACUCGCAGAAUGAGCACCGGCUAACUCUGUGCCAGCAGCCGCGGUAAGAC